rnacentral:rRNA from 1 species
UAGCGUAUAUUAAAGUUGUUGCAGUUAGAACGCUCGUAGUCGGAUUUCGGGGCGGGCCGACCGGUCUGCCGAUGGGUAUGCACUGGUCGGCGCGUCCUUCCUUCCGGAGACCGUGCCUACUCUUAACUGAGCGGGGGCGGGAGACGGAAUUUUUACUUUGAAAAAAUCAGAGUGUUUCAAGCAGGCAGCUCGCUCUUGCAUGGAUUAGCAUGGGAUAAUGAAAUAGGACUUUGGUGCUAUUUUGUUGGUUUCGAACACCGAAGUAAUGAUGAGAAGGGACAGUCAGGGGCACUCGUAUUCCGCAGAGAGAGGUGAAAUUCUCAGACCCGCGGAAGACGAACCACUGCGAAAGCAUUUG